CCCAGCCACGGCACUGUGCUGACCGCUUCCUGCCGCCUCUGACCAGCUUUGUGCAGAUGGGGGCCAAUGGCCCAGCUCACUCUUGCCCAGAGCUUCUCUGACACGGCGGAGGAGGACGCCCCCGAGGGACCUGCUUGGCACCCAGUCCCAGGAGAGCAGGACCUUGCUUGUCUUGGCCACUCGGGUCCCUGGUCUGGCACAGGGCCUGAUAGGAAUGCGUUGACAGAAAGAAUAAAAACGCCGAGUCGAGUGGGACUGCGGACUGGUACAGCCACGCUGGACGACGGUUUGCAGCUUUAUUCAUCAUCACCAAAAACUGGAAACAACCCAAACGUCCCUCAGCUGGUGACGAGAUAAACACAGUGGCACAUCCAUGCAGUGACAGAAGGAGCCCAAAGAGAUGCGCACGCGACGUGGGCGAGUCCCAAAGGCAUGUUGCCUGGGAAAGGAGCCUUGCUUGAAAGGCUACACGCAGCCUGAUGCCAUUUAUGUGAUAUCGAGAUGACGCAGAACUAUGGGGACAGGACACAGACCGGCGGUUGGCGGGAGCGGGGUGUGAGGGGCUGCUGUAAGGGGAUAGGGAUCUGGCAGGUGCAACUCUUCUGUAUUUUGACUGGGGUGGGGGUUACACAACUGUGUGUGUUUUUCAAAACAUAGAACUAUACGUUUAUUUUUACUGUUACUGUGUGCAAGAAACAAGUAACAAUGAAAAAAAAGUUGUAAACUUUCAGAAUCACGGAGCAGAGCGACUGGGUCCCACCAGCCCUCUGGGCAGAGACGAGGGCAGGUGAGAAGUCCUGCAGCCGAGCUUUGACCUCCCCAAACCGGGAAAUGAGGUUGGGCCUGUCCCCCGCCUCCUAGAGCAGGGCCACUUCCACAGCCAUCGGCCCGGCAGAGACUGUUCUGGUCCAUGUGAAGACGGGGCGGGCAGGGCCGGGACUGCAGAUGGGCGGCACCGAUAGUCUGGGGGCUCCGCGGCAGCCUCUGAAGGCUUCCAUCCACUUCUGGCGCUGCGGAGGCCAGGUGUUGCCCGUGGGAGGUCAUCGUGUUGUACUCUCCGCAUUUUUCACGUUUGAACUAUUUCCUUAAUAAACAUGAUCAAUAAUACAGUAAUUUAAAA
rnacentral:lncRNA from 1 species